rnacentral:rRNA from 1 species
AUUGAACGCUGGCGGCAGGCUUAACACAUGCAAGUCGAGCGAUCCGCGGACGGGUGAGUAAUCUCUGGGAAACUGCCCGAUGGAGGGGGAUAACUACUGGACACCGUAGCUAAUACCGCAUACCAUCAUAUGUGCCCAGAUGGGAUUAGCUAGUAGGUGGGGUAAUGGCUCCCCUAGGCGACGAACCCUAGCUGGUCUGAGAGGAUGACGAGCAACAAGGGAAGAGAGACGCGGGCCAGACUCCUACGGGAGACAGCAGGGGGGAAUAUUGCAGAAGGGGCGAAAGCCUGAUGCAGCAAUGACGCGUGUGUGAAGAGGGCCUUGGGGUUGUAAAGCAAUUUCAGCGAGGAGGCGUAACUCGAAGAAGAAGCACCGGCUAACACCGGGCCAGCGGCCGCGGUAAUA